rnacentral:rRNA from 1 species
UACGGAGGGGGCUAGCGUUGUUCGGAAUUACUGGGCGUAAAGCGCACGUAGGCGGCUUGGUAAGUUAGAGGUGAAAGCCUGGAGCUCAACUCCAGAAUUGCCUUUAAGACUGCCGAACUAGCAGGUGAGAGAGGUGAGUGGAAUUCCGAGUGUAGAGGUGAAAUUCGUAGAUAUUCGGAAGAACACCAGUGGCGAAGGCGGCUCACUGGCUCAUACUGGACGCUGAGGUGCGAAAGCGUGGGGAGCAAACAGG